AACGAACGCUGGCGGCAGGCCUAACACAUGCAAGUCGAGCGCCCUUUCGGGGGAGCGGCGGACGGGUGAGUAACGCGUGGGAAUAUGCCCUUCUCUACGGAAUAGCCUCGGGAAACUGAGAGUAAUACCGUAUACGCCCUUUGGGGGAAAGAUUUAUCGGGGAAGGAUUAGCCCGCGUUGGAUUAGGUAGUUGGUGGGGUAAUGGCCUACCAAGCCGACGAUCCAUAGCUGGUUUGAGAGGAUGAUCAGCCACACUGGGACUGAGACACGGCCCAGACUCCUACGGGAGGCAGCAGUGGGGAAUCUUAGACAAUGGGGGCAACCCUGAUUUAGCCAUGCCGCGUGAGUGAUGAAGGCCUUAGGGUUGUAAAGCUCUUUCAGCUGGGAAGAUAAUGACGGUACCAGCAGAAGAAGCCCCGGCUAACUCCGUG
rnacentral:rRNA from 1 species